UACGAAGGGGGCUAGCGUUGCUCGGAAUCACUGGGCGUGAAGCGCACGUAGGCGGCUUUUUAAGUCAGGGGUGAAAUCCUGGAGCUCAACUCCAGAACUGCCUUUGAUACUGGGAAGCUUGAGUCCGGGAGAGGUGAGUGGAACUCCGAGUGUAGAGGUGAAAUUCGUAGAUAUUCGGAAGAACACCAGUGGCGAAGGCGGCUCACUGGCCCGGUACUGACGCUGAGGUGCGAAAGCGUGGGGAGCAAACAGG
rnacentral:rRNA from 1 species